UUUAUGCAGCUGGGUGUUUGUAGUGAUGCUACUGUGUAAGGUUCAGCGCACAUGCACAGAAUUGGAUUACUUCCGGUUGGCCACCGGAAGUUUUCCUCUUGUGCAUGUGCAGGAACUGAAACCUAAAAACCUGACUGCUGAAU